CUUUCAUUUCAUUUCAUUAAUGCAAUCGUAAUACAGUACACAUGCAGCAUAUCUUGUUUGGUAUUGUGUUUCUCACACUGUGUAGUGUUUUAAAUUCAAUUGCUAUGCAAAUAGUUCCUGCAAUAAUGAAAUUACUACAUGUCGUGAGUUUUUUUUUUGAUAAUCUUUAUAAUAUUAAAAUAAUAUUAUGUAAAUAACGAAAGUUUUACCCUAUUUUUAGGGGUUUUUGCGACUACUGAUGAAUUCGUGAUGUUAUGAAUACACUAAAUAUAUUAGUACUGCGUUUUUAAUUUCUUUUCUUUUUCUAUAUUUUCCAUUCAAUUACCUAUAUCGAGAUUCAAAAUGGUUUCGUUGCAUGUCUUUUAAACCUGCCUGACGUCAUGCCAAAGUAUUCGAGGUGAAUGUUGUUCGUCUUUGUUGUAAUAUUUCA